UUUAAUAUAACUAUUAUAAUAUAGCAGAAGGAAACAGAGUUUUAUAUAUGUACAGGGUCUAGGUAUUGGAAAUAAAUUGUAAAAGAUUAUGGUAUCGAUUAACUUAGAUUAAUUUAGGAAAAUAUUUAUUUUAAAAUUUGUGAUUGGUGAGUAAGGCAUUGUUGAGAUUAUGUAUAUGUUGAUUGUGAUAUAAAGUAUAUGAUUACAAAGUGAUGAAAGUACGAUCUAAGUAGUAAACCAAGUUCCAUAAGUUCAAGAUCUCUUGGUGAGAUCUUUAGUGUUUUAAAAUGGAAGUAGGGGCUCAGCCUUGAGAGUCAUUCUGACGCUUCAAUGGUCAAUCAAACUCACUUAGAGAGGUUGAACCAUGUGGUGAGAAGUAGCAGGAGGUCCUUAGUCUUGGGGGCUCCCAGUAUGCCUCAAGGCGCGGAACGGACUAACCUCGUGAGUGUGGCAGGAUGGGGAACCCAAGUUUCAUAAGUCACCACGGGUGCAAGACUCGCCAUAGCCCGACUCUCAUUUUAAAGUCCGGACGAGUCAGUCUAGAAAUUCACACGCUUAGGUUGUGUUCAUCAACUGUUUGAUAAAAAUUAU
rnacentral:lncRNA from 1 species